rnacentral:lncRNA from 1 species
UGUGGUUCCAGUAACCCUACCGUCCCUACUUUUUCGGCUUAAAAAUAGCCUACCCUAAAGAUUUUAUUGUAAUUUUUCAUUAAGCACUGUUAAAGUCAGAAUGUUGCUCCCAUAGAUGACGACCCAAUGUAAAAAAAAAAAACAUAAAAUAAUAAAAAAAUCCCUACCUACCUACCCUAACUUUUUUCAGAUGUAACUGGAACCACACAUACUUUUUUAUUUGGCCUAAUGA